rnacentral:rRNA from 1 species
UAGGGAAUCUUCGGCAAUGGGGGCAACCCUGACCGAGCAACGCCGCGUGAGUGAAGAAGGUUUUCGGAUCGUAAAGCUCUGUUGUAAGAGAAGAACGUGUGUGAGAGUGGAAAGUUCACACAGUGACGGUAACUUACCAGAAAGGGACGGCUAACUACGUGCCAGCAGCCGCGGUAAUACGUAGGUCCCGAGCGUUGUCCGGAUUUAUUGGGCGUAAAGCGAGCGCAGGCGGUUUAAUAAGUCUGAAGUUAAAGGCAGUGGCUUAACCAUUGUUAGCUUUGGAACAUGUUUAACUUGAGUGCAGAAAGGGAGAUUGGAAUUCCAUGUGUAGCGGUGAAAUGCGUGGAUAUAUGGGGAGAAACCGGUGGCGAAAGCGGAUCUCUUGUCUGUAUCUGACGCUGAGGCUCGAAAGCGUGGGGGGCAAACAGG